UCCAAUUAAAACCAUUGUGCAUACACACCCAUACACGUACACACUCAAUCUUUUUUUUUCUUUUUUUCUUUUCAGGUGUGUUCCCUGACUCUCUUAGCUUCCUGGACACAAAAGCAAGUGGCAUGUGACAUAUGCUUUCUUCCAAGCCAUUGUCCAUGUUUAUAUAAUGUUUCACAACGUUGCAUCACAGUUCUGUUUGAAUCCUUGGAACCAAGGCAACAGGAAGAAUGAAUUCUGCUGAUCACCGCAAAGAGACAGAAGAGGCUUUGGCCAGAAAGUUCUUUUUUUAGUUACCAAAGCUCUGGAAUAUUCACCUGCUGGAGUAUUACAUGGAUGUCAAUCGUUCAACUGUGGCUGAGGUUUACAAGAAUAGGAGAUGGAUGUCACAACUUCUGGUUUAUAUGGUGACAGCACUUUUAAUAUAUAUUUGAGGAACCAUCCUUUUCUACACUCCAUGGAGCUAUUUUCCACAACUGACCUGCCAAGUCUCGGGGGGUGCAACACCCUGAAGAUGUCAAAGCCAGACCCAACCUCUACUCGGAAGACACUGAGGAACCUAUCUCUCUAGGUAUGUCAAUGAUGGAACAACCACUGACUCUGGAAUGCUAUCAGGACCCUAGAUUAUCGAAUGGCUGCGUCUGU